ACGAAAUUCUGCCAUUCCUAUUCGAAGUUGAAGGCCAAUUCCGGUCCCUAACACCCCAUAGAAUGUGAGCUCCGGUCAUUCGGGAACGGAAAUAUCCCUGAAGUCCUUAAAACUGCUCAGUGAGAGGAAUUCUCGUGGAAUGUUAAGCUCGAUUACUAUACAUACGUUACGUACAAUGACCCACCCUCGGAGUACAUAGGGAUAUUUAGGGGUUUGUUCGACUAAUGAAUCCUCCGUCAGGGCCGAAAAUCCGGAUGAAAUCCGAUGCCUUCAAACGGACUUGGUUCAAUGGGAUGUUAUACAAAUGCGAUUCGUGGUGUACAUUACAUACAUGCAUACGUAUGGAUCGUGCAUACGUGUAUACGAGCUGC
rnacentral:misc_RNA from 1 species